UUGUGACUUUUUUGUGACAGUUGGAGUUACAGGGAGCUUGUUCUCCUCUCCCAUCAUCUUCCUCUCAUCUCAUAUCAUUAUUUAAGUUGUGCUCGUCUGAAUAGUAAGAUUCAUUUGAUUGCUUGUUCUGCUAAAAGCUGGGUGUGCAAGUUGUCUGACCUGAGACCUGACAGCAAGUGAUUAAGGAGCAUCAAAUAUAAAUCAAAUACUGC